GGGGACGCUCGGGGCCACCGGGCUCCCCGGGCAGCCGGGAGCCAGAGGAGAGCCCGGAGCGCCGGGCAAGGACGGGAUCUCGGACAGACCUGGCCCCACCGGACCCAAAGGGGACAGGGGAGACCCCGGCAUCAACGGGAUAAAGGGCGAGAA